ACUAUACGGCGAAACUGCGAACGGCUCAUUAUAUAAGUUAUCGUUUAUUUGAUAGCACCUUGCUACUUGGGUAACCGUGGUAAUUCUAGAGCUAAUACAUGCCAAAAAUCCCGACUUCGGAAGGGAUGUGUUUAUUAGAUUCAAAACCAAUGCCCCCUGGGCUCACUGGUGAUUCAUGAUAACCGCUCGAAUCGCACGGCCUUGCGCUGGCGAUGGUUCAUUCAAAUUUCUUCCCUAUCAACUUUCGAUGUUUGGGUAGUGGCCAAACAUGGUUGCAACGGGUAACGGAGGGUUAGGGCUCGACCCCGGAGAAGGAGCCUGAGAAACGGCUACUACAUCCAAGGAAGGCAGCAGGCGCGCAAAUUACCCAAUCCCGACACGGGGAGGUAGUGACAAUAAAUACCGAUAUAGGGCUCUUUUGGGUCUUAUAAUUGGAAUGAGUACAAUUUAAAUCCCUUAACGAGGAACAAUUAGAGGGCAAGUCUGGUGCCAGCAGCCGCGGUAAUUCCAGCUCUAAUAGCGUAUAUUAAAGUUGUUGUGGUUAAAAAGCUCGUAGUUGAACCUUGGGCCUGGCUGGCCGGUCCGCCUCACCGCGUGCACUGGUCCGGCCGGGCCUUUCCCUCCGCGGAACCCCAUGCCCUUCGCUGGGCGUGGCGGGGAAACGGGACUUUUACUUUGAAAAAAUUAGAGUGCUCAAGGCAGGCCUAUGCUCGAAUACAUUAGCAUGGAAUAAUGAAAUAGGACGCGCGGUUCUAUUUUGUUGGUUUCUAGGACCGCCGUAAUGAUUGAUAGGGACAGUCGGGGGCGUCAGUAUUCAACCGUCAGAGGUGAAAUUCUUGGACCGGUUGAAGACUAACUACUGCGAAAGCAUUCGCCAAGGAUGUUUUCAUUAAUCAGGAACGAAAGCUAGGGGAUCGAAGACGAUCAGAUACCGUCGUAGUCUUAGCCAUAAACUAUGCCGACUAGGGAUCGGGCGAUGUUAUUCUUUGACUCGCUCGGCACCUUCCGAGAAAUCAAAGUGCUGGGCUCC
rnacentral:rRNA from 1 species